UGGGGAAUAUUGCACAAUGGAGGAAACUCUGAUGCAGCGACGCCGCGUGAGUGAAGAAGGUCUUCGGAUCGUAAAACUCUGUCCUUGGUGACGAAAAAAUGACGGUAGCCAAGGAGGAAGCCCCGGCUAACUACGUGCCAGCAGCCGCGGUAAUACGUAGGGGGCGAGCGUUGUCCGGAUUUACUGGGCGUAAAGGGUGAGUAGGCGGUAAUAUGUGUCAGAUGUAAAAGGCUAUGGCUUAACCAUAGUUAGCAUUUGAAACUGUAUUACUUGCGUGCAGGAGAGGUAAGUGGAAUUCCUAGUGUAGCGGUGAAAUGCGUAGAUAUUAGGAGGAACACCAGUGGCGAAGGCGACUUACUGGACUGUAACUGACGCUGAGUCACGAAAGCGUGGGUAGCAAACA
rnacentral:rRNA from 1 species